UACGUAGGUGACAAGCGUUGUCCGGAUUUACUGGGCGUAAAGAGCGCGCAGGCGGUCGUUCAAGUCGAGUGUGAAAGCCCCCGGCUCAACUGGGGAGGGUCAUUCGAUACUGAUCGACUCGAAGGCAGGAGAGGGAAGUGGAAUUCCUGGUGUAGCAGUGAAAUGCGUAGAUAUCAGGAGGAAUACCGAUGGCGAAGGCAGGUCUCUGGGCUGACACUGACGCUCAUGCACGAAAGCGUGGGGAGCAAACAGG
rnacentral:rRNA from 1 species